AUCCCUAACAACAAAUAAGUCCAACUUCCUUGGAAUCCAUCAGAAAUUAUUGUAAGCUGGGAGAGGCAAGGGAAGUCUAUUAAAUACCAGAGAGAGGCUAAAAGGAUUCGAAGCUCACUCUGGAAGGAUUAAAGCUAGCAGCUGCGAUGGGAACACCAAGAACAGUGAAAGUCACAAGCCAAAGACCACCAAGACGAAGAAAAAACUG